GAGAACGCUGGCGGCUGGAUUAGGCAUGCAAGUCGGACGGUAGGCUUUAUCGUAAGAUAGAGUUUGAGAGUGGCGAAUGGGUGAGUAACACGUAGGAAUCUACCCUUAAGACGGGGACAACCCAGGGAAACUUGGGCUAAUACCGGAUGAGAGUGCGAGAGAUUGCAUUUAAAAGGAUGGCGAAAGUUAUCGCUUAGGGAUGAGCCUGCGGUCGUAUUAGUUAGUUGGUGGGGUAAGACGCUCACCAAGGCGAUGAUAGAUAGGCGGCCUUAACGGGUGGUCGCCCACACUGGGAUUGAGAUACGGCCCAGACUCCUACGGGAGGCAGCAGUCGAGAAUAGUCUACAAUGGCCGGAAGGCUGAUAGUGCGACGCCGCGUGAACGAGGGAGCCCUUCGGGGUGUAAAGUUCUUUUCUAUACGAGCAGUGCUAUAUAUAUGGAUAGUAUAUAUAGAGGGAUAGUAGUAUAGGAAUAAGCAACGGCUAACUCCGUG
rnacentral:rRNA from 1 species